rnacentral:rRNA from 1 species
UGGGGGAUAUUGCACAAUGGGGGGAACCCUGAUGCAGCGACGCCGCGUGAGCGAUGAAGUGCUUCGGUAUGUAAAGCUCUAUCAGCAGGGAAGAAGAUGACGGUACCUGACUAAGAAGCCCCGGCUAACUACGUGCCAGCAGCCGCGGUAAUACGUAGGGGGCAAGCGUUAUCCGGAUUUACUGGGUGUAAAGGGAGCGUAGACGGCGAUGCAAGCCUGGAGUGAAAGGCGGGGGCUCAACCCCCGGACUGCUUUGGGAACUGCAUGGCUGGAGUGUCGGAGAGGCAGGCGGAAUUCCUAGUGUAGCGGUGAAAUGCGUAGAUAUUAGGAGGAACACCAGUGGCGAAGGCGGCCUGCUGGACGAUGACUGACGUUGAGGCUCGAAAGCGUGGGGAGCAAACAGG